rnacentral:rRNA from 1 species
GACGAACGCUGGCGGCGUGCCUAAUACAUGCAAGUCGAGCGAACUAUUUAAAAGCUUGCUUUUGAAUAGUUAGCGGCGGACGGGUGAGUAACACGUGGGCAACCUGCCUAUAAGACUGGGAUAACUUCGGGAAACCGGAGCUAAUACCGGAUAAUUCUUUUCUACACAUGUAGGAAAGCUAAAAGACGGUUUACGCUGUCACUUAUAGAUGGGCCCGCGGCGCAUUAGCUAGUUGGUGAGGUAACGGCUCACCAAGGCCACGAUGCGUAGCCGACCUGAGAGGGUGAUCGGCCACACUGGGACUGAGACACGGCCCAGACUCCUACGGGAGGCAG